GUCCUUUUGGGAUUUAUAUAAGGUCUAACCUGCCCACUGAUUAAUUAAAUGGCCGCAGUAUUUUGACUGUGCAAAGGUAGCAUAAUCAUUAGUUUUUUAAUUAAAAGCUUGUAUGAAGGGUUGGACGAGGUAAAAUCUGUCUCUAUUUAAUUUAUUUUAGAAUUUAAUUUUUAAGUUAAAAAGCUUAAAUUAUUAUAAAAGACGAGAAGACCCUAUAGAUCUUUAUAUUAUUAUAAAUAAUUUUAAUUAAGGAUAUUUUAUUUUUUAUUUAUAUUAAUAUUUUAUUGGGGUAAUAAAGAGAUUAAAUAAAUUCUUUUUAAAAUUUAAUAUUAAUUAGUAGUUAUAUGAUCCAAUAUUUUUGAUUAAAAGAUUAAGUUACCUUAGGGAUAACAGCGUAAUUUUUUUUGAGAGUUCAUAUCGAUAAAAAAGUUUGCGACCUCGAUGUUGGAUUAAAAAUUAUUCUAGGUGCAGAAGUUUAGAAAUUUGGUCUGUUCGACCAUUAAAUUUUU
rnacentral:rRNA from 1 species